rnacentral:rRNA from 1 species
AUUGAACGCUGGCGGCAGGCCUAACACAUGCAAGUCGAGCGGAUGAAGGGAGCUUGCUCCUGGAUUCAGCGGCGGACGGGUGAGUAAUGCCUAGGAAUCUGCCUGGUAGUGGGGGAUAACGUCCGGAAACGGGCGCUAAUACCGCAUACGUCCUGAGGGAGAAAGUGGGGGAUCUUCGGACCUCACGCUAUCAGAUGAGCCUAGGUCGGAUUAGCUAGUUGGUGGGGUAAAGGCCUACCAAGGCGACGAUCCGUAACUGGUCUGAGAGGAUGAUCAGUCACACUGGAACUGAGACACGGUCCAGACUCCUACGGGAGGCAGCAGUGGGGAAUAUUGGACGAUGGGCGAAAGCCUGAUCCAGCCAUGCCGCGUGUGUGAAGAAGGUCUUCGGAUUGUAAAGCACUUUAAGUUGGGAGGAAGGGCAGUAAGUUAAUACCUUGCUGUUUUGACGUUACCAACAGAAUAAGCACCGGCUAACUUCAUG